rnacentral:piRNA from 1 species
UAGAUUAAAAUAAUUUCAAAAUGACGUGCAUG